rnacentral:rRNA from 1 species
GAUGAACGCUAGCUACAGGCUUAACACAUGCAAGUCGAGGGGCAGCACAGUGUAGCAAUACAUGGGUGGCGACCGGCGCACGGGUGCGUAACGCGUAUCCAACCUUCCCGAUACUCAGGGAUAGCCUUCCGAAAGGGAGAUUAAUACCUGAUGGUGUUUUAAUUCCGCAUGUUAAUGAAACUAAAGAUUUAUCGGUAUCGGAUGGGGAUGCGUGACAUUAGAUAGUAGGCGGGGUAACGGCCCACCUAGUCUACGAUGUCUAGGGGUUCUGAGAGGAAGGUCCCCCACACUGGAACUGAGACACGGUCCAGACUCCUACGGGAGGCAGCAGUGAGGAAUAUUGGUCAAUGGUCGGAAGACUGAACCAGCCAAGUAGCGUGAAGGAUGAAGGUUCUAUGGAUUGUAAACUUCUUUUGGUUGGGAAUAAUGAUAUUACGUGUAGUUAUUUGCAUGUACCUUACGAAUAAGCAUCGGCUAAUUCCGUGCCAGCAGCCG